GCCCUCGUAGCUCAGCAGGAUAGAGCGCACCCCUCCUAAGGGUGAGGUCACACGUUCGAAUCGUGUCGGGGGCACCA
rnacentral:tRNA from 2 species